UGAAUCUCAAAUGGGAUAACUUGUCUGUUUAGACAACUGAAUACAGACCUUUGUCAAAUGGAGUAGUUUCAGCUCUAAUGCCAAAGUGUAGACUUUUAGAUGUAAUCUAGUCACUUACACUUGUAUUAUAAUCAGUGAGGAUCUCAGCAACAGAGCCAGCAGAUUUAGGUAGUUACUGAGCUCACUCUAAAAUACCCACAUUCUGCAUAGCUCGCCUGAAUACCCCUCUAAGCUCAAUGAGGCUUGGUUCAUCUGUCCACAUGUGAACACAGAGCAUAGAUGUACUCCGGUUUUCUACUUUGCUUUCAGCUGCCAAUCUGAAGUGUGUGGUUCUCUGUGUGCUGUAGGUACAAGCCUUACGCAGCUGUCUUCUGUACCUAGGAACAUCUGUACUACUACCAAGUUUUGAGUUCUUCGGCAACUUUUACCUGUAGAGCAAUCAGCACUGACACAAUGUUAAAAUGGUAGAGGACAGCAUAGAUGCUACCAAGAUUCAGACACUGGUAUCAUAAUUGUUAUUUUAUUGUGAUACAAACUGAUGAUGCUAAAAUAGAGAAUGUUUUUUAAUUCAAUAAAAGCUUUUGACUUGCAUUAUUCAAAAUGGCAUACACUAAUAAUUUUAAACUGAGAAUAUUGCUGCUACAGUUCAAUCUGAAAUAUAAAUAAAAUAAGUUGAAUCAGAUUAGAUAAUUCUGAGAAACAAAUAUGAUAAUACGGUGGCUUUGUAAAACAUCAUAACUGGAUGAUGAUAGCUCCAUUUUUUACAUUAAACUGUAUGUCUGUUCCAACUGGAGCUUGGAUAAAAAAAAACAGAAAACAAAACA